rnacentral:rRNA from 1 species
UAGGGAAUAUUGGGCAAUGGGCGGGAGCCUGACCCAGCCAUGCCGCGUGCCGGACGAAGGCCCUCAGGGUUGUAAACGGCUUUUGCCAGGGAAGAAGGUACCCCUGCGGGGGUAGGUGACGGUACCUGGCGAAGAAGCACCGGCUAACUCCGUGCCAGCAGCCGCGGUAAUACGGAGGGUGCCAGCGUUGUCCGGAUUCAUUGGGUUUAAAGGGUACGUAGGCGGCUGGGUAAGUCCGUGGUGAAAGUCUGGGGCUCAACCCUGGAAGUGCCAUGGAUACUGCCGAGCUUGAGUGACCUAGGGGCCGGCGGAAUGGGGGGUGUAGCGGUGAAAUGCAUAGAUACCCUCCGGAACCCCGAAGGCGAAGGCGGCCGGCUGGGGGUCAACUGACGCUGAGGUACGAAAGCGUGGGGAGCCAACAGGAUUAGAUACCCCCGUAGUCC